rnacentral:misc_RNA from 1 species
UUUCGUAGGUGAACCUGCGGAAGGAUCAUAAAAAAUGUGGUACCAAUUAUUGGUACUAAUUAAUCAUCCUACCCUUUGUGAAUUGUUUGUAACGAAUUUUUUUAAAUGGGUCUUUCCCUAAGUUGGAUUGUAGUAAAAUACAAAAAGACUUAGGGGAAUGACUUUUUUAAAAGACUUUUUUUUAAUUAAAACUUUUUGUAUUCAUUUGUCUAAAAUUUAUUUUAUAAUAUAAAAACAACUUUUGACAAUGGAUCUCUUGGUUCUCGCAACGAUGAAGAACGCAGCAAAAUGCGAUAAGUAGUGUGAAUUGCAGAAUACGUGAAUCAUCGAAUCUUCGAACGCAUAUUGCACUUUUUUAGUUUACUAAAAAAGUAUGUCUGUUUGAGUAUCAGUAAAAUAUUCUCACAAACAAUUUGUUUUGUGGUUAUGAGUGUUUUACAACGAUAAACAAGUUGUUUCACUUUAAAUUCUUUUUAAUUGAAUUUUACCAAUUCAUAAAUUAAAAUUGGAUAAAAUUUUCCUUUAACGAGGAAUAACCUAAACAAUUUUAAAUUUUAUGGAUUAAUAAACAUUCAUCAAAGGACCUAUACAACAAAUAACUUGAUCUCAAAUCAGAUAAGAGUACCCGCUGAACUUAAGCAUAUCAAUAAGCGGAGGAAAAGAAACUAACAAGGAUUCCCUUAGUAACGGCGAGUGAAGCGGGAAGAGCUCAAAUUUGAAAUCUUCAAGGUUUGACCUUGACGAAUUGUAGUUUAUAGAAGUGUUUUCUGUUGGAGUUUUGGUAAAGUUCUUUGGAAUAGGACAUCAUAGAGGGUGAGAAUCCCGUAUUUGACCAUGACUUUCCAGCUGUGUGAUACACUUUCAAAGAGUCGGAUUGUUUGGGAAUGCAGUCCAAAAUGGGUGGUAAAUUUCAUCUAAAGCUAAAUAUUGGCGAGAGACCGAUAGCGAACAAGUACCGUGAGGGAAAGAUGAAAAGAACUUUGAAAAGAGAGUUAAACAGUACGUGAAAUUGUCAAAAGGGAAGCGUUUGACACCAGUGUUGUUUUCUCGAAAAUCAAUUUAAUGAGUUCUUGUUUUUAAGUUAUUGUGACUUUAUCAGCGCAUUUCUUAUUUUACUUGACUCAUUGAAUGCACUUUUCGUUUAACAAGUCAACAUCAAUUUCUUUGGUGGUAAAAAGUUUAAAGGAAGGUGGCUUGGACUUCGGUUCAAGUGUUUAUAGCCUUUUUUCUAUGCCAUCGGAGAGAUUGAGGUCUGCAGCGUAGAUCCUUCGGGUUAGAUACCUUUGUGCUAAGUUAUAGUUUUUAUAGACAACUUGUUGACUAUAAUUAACCCUGUAAUUUACUCGCUUAGGCUAUUUUACCUACGCUUAGGAUGUUG